GGGAUAAACGCUGAAGGCAUCUAAGCGUGAAGCCCACCCCAAGAUGAGAUAUCCCGUCCAAAAGGACAUAAGAUCCCUCAGAGAGUAUGAGGUAGAUAGGGCAGAGGUGUAAGCAGAGUAAUCUGUUCAGCUGACUGUCACUAAUAGAUCGAAGGCUUGAUCA
rnacentral:rRNA from 1 species